UACGUAGGUGGCAAGCGUUGUCCGGAUUUACUGGGCGUAAAGAGCGCGCAGGCGGUCGAGUAAGUCGCGUGUGAAAGCCCCCGGCUCAACUGGGGAGGGUCACGCGAUACUGUUCGACUCGAAGGCAGGAGAGGGUAGUGGAAUUCCCGGUGUAGUGGUGAAAUGCGUAGAUAUCGGGAGGAACACCAGUGGCGAAGGCGACUACCUGGCCUGUUCUUGACGCUGAGGCGCGAAAGCUAGGGGAGCAAACGGG
rnacentral:rRNA from 1 species